GAUGAUCGUUCCUCUCUUCCUUUGGGAGAGUAAGAGGGAGAGGACACCAUCUGAGUGGU
rnacentral:snRNA from 1 species